UUAUGCCUUUCAGAAUCAUGCAUACACACGUCAUAUGCACAACAUAGGCUAUAUGGUACAUGCACAACAUAUAUAUGUGAUGUUACAUGCAGAACAUUUGCAAUAUACACGUUACAUACAUGCGUUAUAUACAUAUUACACAGAACAUGUGCAAUGUAUAUGCAGAACAUAAUACAUGUAUGACAUGCAAUAUGUAAUGUGUGUAGAACAUGUGACAUAUACGUAAUAUAAAUGCUAUAUGCACAUUUAUGUAAUAUGUGACAUACACAUGUGACAUAUGCAUGGCAUGUAACAUGUUUAAUGUGACUAUAUAUGUAAUGUGUGAUGUUACAUGCACAUUUUAUGUAUGUAUAAUGUUAUAGAUACAUAUACGUUCUAUUGUUACACGUGUAUAUACAUAUACAUAUACAUGUGUAUAAUAUAUACAUGAUAUAUGUUACAUAUAAAUGUUAUGUGUCACACAUCUAUGUUAGCUGUUGAUAAAUACAAACACACGUAUAUAUAUGAGUCACCAUCUUGAGAAACCAAGAAUUCAACAGGCGAUCCUCUGAAGAUUUUUGCCUGUCAGCUUCUAAUUCCUUCAAAGGCAAAAUGAUAGUAUUCACACGAAUAAACCAUGCUGACACAAUGGCACAAAGUUUGCCCUGAGCUUACCCCUCUGAGUUUCACAACUCAACCAAACUCUACCUGCUGCAACUCUGUCAUAAGCAAGAUCACUGAAAACCAUAGACAUCUCUACAGGGGAGGACUGCCUUCUUCUAGCUGUUUCCAGGGAGAUGAGGAUUAAAGCAAACUCAACCAGGGGAGUUGUAAAAAGCAGCUUGGGUUUUGGAGUCAGGCUGAGCUGGGUUGUGAUCUGGGCCUUGUUAUUCAGUAGCUGUGCUGUCUUUUGUUUUGUUUUUGAGACGGAGUCUCACUCUGUUGCCCAGGCUUGAGUGCAGGGGUGCAAUCUCAGCUCACUGCAACCUCUGCCUCCUGGGUCC
rnacentral:lncRNA from 10 species